GACGAACGCUGGCGGCGUGCUUAACACAUGCAAGUCGAACGGAAAGGCCCUGCUUUUGUGGGGUGCUCGAGUGGCGAACGGGUGAGUAACACGUGAGUAACCUGCCCUUGACUUUGGGAUAACUUCAGGAAACUGGGGCUAAUACCGGAUAGGAGCUCCUGCUGCAUGGUGGGGGUUGGAAAGUUUCGGCGGUUGGGGAUGGACUCGCGGCUUAUCAGCUUGUUGGUGGGGUAGUGGCUUACCAAGGCUUUGACGGGUAGCCGGCCUGAGAGGGUGACCGGCCACAUUGGGACUGAGAUACGGCCCAGACUCCUACGGGAGGCAGCAGUGGGGAAUACUGCACAAUGGGCGGAAGCCUGAUGCAGCAACGCCGCGUGCGGGAUGACGGCCUUCGGGUUGUAAACCGCUUUCGCCUGUGACGAAGCGUGAGUGACGGUCAUGGGUAAAGAAGCACCGGCUAACUACGUG
rnacentral:rRNA from 1 species